rnacentral:rRNA from 1 species
CCUACGGGAGGCAGCAGUAGGGAAUAUUGCUCAAUGGGGGAAACCCUGAAGCAGCAACGCCGCGUGGAGGAUGAAGGUUUUCGGAUUGUAAACUCCUUUUGUUAGAGAAGAUAAUGACGGUAUCUAACGAAUAAGCACCGGCUAACUCUGUGCCAGCAGCCGCGGUAAUACGGAGGGUGCAAGCGUUACUCGGAAUCACUGGGCGUAAAGAGCGCGUAGGCGGGUUAGCAAGUCAGAUGUGAAAGCCUAUGGGUUAACCAUAGAACUGCAUUUGAAACUGUUAACCUAGAGUAUAGGAGAGGAGGGUGGAAUUCUAGGUGUAGGGGUAAAAUCCGUAGAGAUAAGGAGGAAUACUCGUUGCGAAGGCGACCUGCUAGAACGUAACUGACGCUGAUGCGCGAAAGCGUGGGGAGCAAACAGGAUUAGAUACCCGUGUAGUC